GGACUACUAGGGUUUCUAAUCCUGUUUGCUCCCCUUGCUCUCGCGCCUCAGCGUCAGGUAUAAGCUAGAAAACCGCUUUCGCCACAGGUGUUCUUCCACAUAUCUACGCAUUUCACCGCUACACGUGGAAUUCCAUUUUCUCCGCCAAUCCUCUUAGAUUUGUAGUUUCAAGUGCAGUCCCAAAGUUGAGCUUUGGAAUUUCACACUCGACUUACAUACCCGCCUACGCGCCCUUUACGCCCAAUAAAUCCGAUUAAUGCUUGCACCCUCCGUAUUACCGCGGCUGCUGGCAC
rnacentral:rRNA from 1 species